rnacentral:rRNA from 1 species
UACGGAGGGAGCUAGCGUUGUCCGGAAUUACUGGGCGUAAAGGGCAUGCAGGCUGUGCUGUAAGUCAGCUGUAAAAAGAUGCGGCUUAACCGUGUUUCGCAGUUGAAACUGCAGUGCUGGAGUAUCGGAGAGGCAAGUGGAAUUCCCAGUGUAGCGGUGAAAUGCGUAGAUAUUGGGAAGAACACCGGUGGCGAAGGCGACUUGCUGGCCGAUAACUGACGCUGAGAUGCGAAAGCCAGGGGAGCAAACAGG